rnacentral:rRNA from 1 species
GAUGAACGCUGGCGGCGUGCCUAAUACAUGCAAGUCGAACGAAGAGAUGAGGAGCUUGCUCCUCGGACGUUAUCGGCAGACGGGUGUGUAACACGUGUAUAACCUACCUAUAAGACUGGGAUCACUUCGGGAAGCCGGAUCUAAUACCGGGUAAUAUAUUGAACCGCAUGGAUCAUUAGUGAAAGACGGCUUUGCUGUCACUUAUAGAUGGUUCCGCGUCGCAUUAGCUAGUUGGUAAGGUAACGGCUUACCAAGGCAACGAUGCGUAGCCGACCUGGGAGGGUGACUGGCCCACCUGGAAGUGAGACACGUUCCAGACUCCUAAGGGAGGCAGAAGUGGGGAAUCUUGCGAAAGGGGCGAAAGCCUGGCGAGCAAACGCACCGUGAGUGAUGAAGGUCUCCGGAUCGUAAAACUCUGUUAUUAGGGAAGAACAACUGUAUAAGGAAAUAUGCACGCCUUGACGGUACCUAAUCAGAAAGCAACGGCUAACUACGUG